rnacentral:rRNA from 1 species
UACAGAGGUCCCAAGCGUUGUUCGGAUUCACUGGGCGUAAAGGGUGCGUAGGUGGUGAGGUAAGUCGGAUGUGAAAUCUCCGAGCUCAACUCGGAAAUGGCAUUGGAAACUACCUCGCUCGAGGGUUGGAGGGGGGACUGGAAUGCUUGGUGUAGCAGUGAAAUGCGUAGAUAUCAAGCGGAACACCAGUGGCGAAGGCGAGUCCCUGGACAACUCCUGACACUGAGGCACGAAAGCUAGGGGAGCAAACAGG